AAAACAUGUCUAUAUGAAAGCUGAAUAUAGUAUGGCCUGCCCACUGAUUUGAAAGUUAAAGGGCCGCAGUAUCUUGACUGUGCAAAGGUAGCAUAAUCAUUAGUUUCUUAAUUGGGAGCUCGUAUGAACGGUCGGACGAGAAAAAUACUGUUUCUUCUGAGAAUUUUGAACUUAACUUUUAGGUGCAAAGGCCUAAAUGAAUUUGGGGGACGAUAAGACCCUAUAAAUCUUUACAACGGUCUUAUUAUUUGGAUAGUCUGUUUGUCUAUAUCUGGUGAUAAGACUUGGUUGUUUCGCUGGGGCGGCGUCUAUAAAAUGAUUAACUGUUUUAAAAUAGAACAAUUAUUUUUGAUUAAAGCUUAAAGAUCCUUGUUAGAGAUUACAAGUUAAAGUUACUUUAGGGAUAACAGCGUUAUUUUUUUUAAGAGUUCAUAUCUAAAAAAGAGUUUGCGACCUCGAUGUUGAAUUAAAAUUUCCUAAGGGUUGUAGAAGCUCCGGGGGAGAGUCUGUUCGACUUUUAAAUUUUUACAUGAUUUGAGUUCAGACCGGCGUGAGCCAGGUUGU
rnacentral:rRNA from 1 species